GAUGAAGAACGCAACGAAAUGCGAUACGUAAUGUGAAUUGCAGAAUUCAGUGAAUCAUCGAAUCUUUGAACGCACAUUGCGCCCCCUGGUAUUCCGGGGGGCAUGCCUGUUCGAGCGUCAUUUCACCACUCAAGCCUCGCUUGGUAUUGGGCAACGCGGUCCGCCGCGUGCCUCAAAUCGUCCGGCUGGGUCUUCUGUCCCCUAAGCGUUGUGGAAACUAUUCGCUAAAGGGUGUUCGGGAGGCUACGCCGUAAAACAACCCCAUUUCUAAGGUUGACCUCGGAUCAGGUAGGGAUACCCGCUGAACUUAAGCAUAUCAAUAAGCGGAGGA
rnacentral:misc_RNA from 1 species